CUGAUUUUCUCCCUCCUAAUGAAGAAGCCAACAAAACCUUCGAAGCAGGGAACAAUUUGGGAGUCAUUUUUGAAGGAGAAAACGCUGCUAUCGUGGACUAUCUUUCCAAAUGAAUUUCUGUGGAUCGCGGAGCUUUUAUCCAAACCUAUUAAAGCCAGGCAGCUUGGCAUUUUGGCGAGCAUCUUUUCUUUUUUUGUAAUCAUGUUGUGCUUCUUAUCAUGGAAUGUAAGGGGAGUUGGGAGUUGUGCUAAACAAUGUCAUCUCAAAAGUUCGAUAAAAAAAACACCAACUGGAUGUUAUAGCUCUUCUUGAGACAAAAUGCACUUCUGUUUCCUUUGCACUAGCAAGAAGUCUUUGGGGUAUGGGAGACCUAGGUUGGACUUCCAUAGAUGCAAAUGGUUCUUCUGGUCCUUAUGGUGCUUUGGAAUAAGAGAUCCUUCUGUGUUAAUAAAUGUGAAAUCUUCACUCGUUGGGUUCUAAUUGAAGGUAAAAUCCUCAGCUGUAAUUUUAAUUCUUUACUUGCUUUUGUGUAUGCUCCUUGUGAUGUCCAGGAAUAAGAAUCUCUAUGGCUAGAAAUUAUCCACAAAUUAAGAGACGCAAGUGAUCCUAUUUUGCUUAUUGGAGACUUUAAUCAAGUCCUGGAGGUCACUAACAGAAGAAGUUGCAGAUUUUCACUUGCUGGGAUGAACAAUUUUCAUUCUUUUGUGGAUGAUUUAGGGCUGGUUGACAUCCCUCUCUUAGGAAAGAUGUACACUUGGAGAAAUUCAGUAUCUAUGAGUAACAUUGAUAGAGCUCUAGUCUCUGCUCAUUGGAUCUCCAAGUUCCCCAAUUUGUUUUUCAAUGGAUUGCCACAUGCCAUCAGAUCAUAAUCCCAUCAUUUUGACUACAGAGUCUCUGAAUUGGGGUCCUAAGCCUGUAAGAUUCCUUGAUGUUUGGUGGACAUGGCUUAAAUUUCUUGAAAUUGUAGAGGACUUCUGGAAAGAAAUCUCUGAUGCCAACUUAGGCUUCUGGAAAGAAAUCUUUGAUGCUAACUCUUACUCUACGCUUCCUUUUAAAGUUAAGCUUUUGAAGAGGAAAUUGCAAAUUUGGAACCUGUCUGUGUUUGGAAAUGUGAAAACAAAGCUAAACAAUCUAAAGAGUGCUUUAGAUAAGUGGGAGAACGCGGCAGAAAAUCGUAUCCUCACUUUGUCAGAAUUGUCACUAGUUCAACACUUAAAAUCACAAAAGAAGGCAUGGGCUAAUCAUGUAGAAUCAGUUUGGAGGCAUAAAUCAUUAGUUAAUUGAUGUAAACUGGGAGAUAAAAGCACAAAAUUCUUCCAUAUUCAGCGUAGCAACAGAUGGAGGAAGAAUUAUAUUCGCUCUAUUUUUGAUAAGGGGUGCAUCUUGACAGAUAAAUUAUCAAUUCAGAAGGCUAUUUUGGACCACUUCCAACCCCAGUUCUACUAGUUAUGCCCAUUUGUUGGUCGUUGCCCUGCUUUAAGUUACAAAAGGUUAAACCCCAUUGAUGCUCAAAGACUAGAAGAAGUUUUCACUUCAGAGGAGAUAAAAGAAGCAGUUUGGCAGUGUGAUUAGGGCCAAGCACCUAGCUCGGACGGUGCAAAUUUCCUUUUUUAUAAAAAUGCUUGGUUGUUGAUUAAGGAAGACAUGUUUAAAAUGGUUAUAGAAUUUUAUAACUACUCUUCUGUCCCGUACGUCAUCAAUUCUUCUUUCAUUGCUUUGGUGCCG
rnacentral:misc_RNA from 1 species